CUAACGGCCCUCUUUAGGGCCACAACUGGUAAAUUUUGUACUCAUU
rfam:Angiostrongylus costaricensis strain Costa Rica genome assembly, scaffold: ACOC_contig0000945